rnacentral:rRNA from 1 species
CCUACGGGUGGCAGCAGUGAGGAAUAUUGGUCAAUGGGCGUAAGCCUGAACCAGCCAAGUCGCGUGAGGGAUGAAGGUUCUAUGGAUCGUAAACCUCUUUUAUAAGGGAAUAAAGUGCGGGACGUGUCCCGUUUUGUAUGUACCUUAUGAAUAAGGAUCGGCUAACUCCGUGCCAGCAGCCGCGGUAAUACGGAGGAUCCGAGCGUUAUCCGGAUUUAUUGGGUUUAAAGGGUGUGUAGGCGGCCUUUUAAGUCAGCGGUGAAAGUCUGUGGCUCAACCAUAGAAUUGCCGUUGAAACUGGGAGGCUUGAGUAUGUGUGAGGCAGGCGGAAUGCGUGGUGUAGCGGUGAAAUGCUUAGAGAUCAGGAAGAACC